GUUGCAUUUGCAACAAUGGGGAGAAGAUGGGCAGUGGAUGCUUUCCUCGUGGGGUGGAGCCAAAGUGGCACUUCUGGAGCUGCAGAAAGCUUUGGGCUGUCACUUGGCACCUUCAUCAAUAUAACUGAAGGCACCCACACAACUCAAAGAAGGCGGGAAGGCGGGAAGAAAGGAAGAGGCACCUAUGUUUACAUCCAAGUUGCAUGAGCAGCUUUGCUUACAUUGGCAAGCUCUCUGCAGCUCCAAGGCUAUCAUUACAGUGACAAGUGAUGAACAAUGUCCUCCAACAGAAAUGAUCUUCUGACAUUCCUCUUGCAAGGACAAGAAAGAUCCACCAUAAUCAGAGUAAGCCUUUUUAUUCUGAAAGCUACCUAGAAAAGAGCACAUUUACUGAAAGAAGAAUCAGGAAAAUAAGUUUUUGACUGUAAAUAUAAGGUCAGCUGCCAUCCUCUCCUCCAUUUUGCCUUGUUUUAUUUAUGUUGUAUUUUGAAAUGGUCAUAUGACUGGUCAAAUAAAUAAAAUUAUUAUUAUUAUUACAUUAUUAUUACAUAAAGAAAAGAGAAUGGCCGAGUGAGAGAGUAUACCACCUGUUUUCUCUCUCUGAGAUCAGGGGAUCAUGUCUUCAGAGCCUAGGCAUGAUGGAACUAAGCCUGCCUCUUUUUUUUCUCCUUUCCCUUUUACUUCAUUUUCUUUUUGACUGAAAGCCAUUUCUUUCCAUAUGUAAACAAUGGGAGACAAGCAUUGAAACCAUUUCCCAGACUGGACAAAAACGCUCCUGCUAUGUUGAGGCAUGACAGAGUAAGUGGCGGGUAGGUAAUGCAUACCAAGAUCUUGUCCUGAUACAUCGACUGCAUUUCCCAGAUGUAACCCAUUCUUACCUUUUCAAUAUCAUCUUCCUAUACCCUACAAAGGAAAGAAAAGAAGCCUGGAGUAAAGGACAUAGUCUCUUUCCUCUGGCCUCUGAAAUACUAUUUCAAGCAAAACUGCAUUGCAUUAUUAAAGUUUAGUUGAUGUCUAAGUGAUUCUUUUUUACUCUUGAAAAGGGACCCCAUUAUUUUCACAAGGU